GUGGGGAAGUGUAGUGGUGUAAAGAGUCAAAAAACCAUAACUGUCAACCAAAUUCGAAAGACCAUCAAAACACCUAAUUUAUCUUAAACAUCCAAAGAGUGUUGUGCACUCCAAAAGUAAUUAAGAAGAUUUAUUGCAAAAUUAAUCAAAUGUUCUUUAAUUUUAGUAGAGAAACUAGUUAGUAGCCAAGGGUGUCCCGUA
rnacentral:lncRNA from 1 species